UACGAAGGGGGCGAGCGUUGUUCGGAAUUACUGGGCGUAAAGCGCACGUAGGCGGCUUUGCAAGUUAGAGGUGAAAGCCCGGGGCUCAACUCCGGAAUUGCCUUUAAAACUGCAUCGCUAGAAUUGUGGAGAGGUAAGUGGAAUUCCGAGUGUAGAGGUGAAAUUCGUAGAUAUUCGGAAGAACACCAGUGGCGAAGGCGACUUACUGGACACAUAUUGACGCUGAGGUGCGAAAGCGUGGGGAGCAAACAGG
rnacentral:rRNA from 1 species